AGGAGGACUACCUGUCGUUCCAAGAACUCCCCCUGCUGGCAUUGCUAUGGACGGUAAUUCUGCCCAUGUGAUUGUGAUGUCCUUGCAAGUGCCGGAUCUGAGGCAGGUGGACUCCCUGGGAUGCCAGGUAAAUCCCCCCAUCGCCAUCCCACGCUGGUGAGCGGGUAAGUACCCUGGAUGUACCCUGGACCCGUCGGUGUUUAGAGCUGGGUCCCCAAGGACGGCAUAGCACGCCCACCAUCCUUAAGGGGUUAAAAAGG